rnacentral:RNase_P_RNA from 1 species
AGAGCAGGACAGAUGGCCGCUCCUUCCUGUUUAGGGAGGGGAGGAAAGUCCGGGCUCCAUAGGACAGGGUGCUGGGUAACGCCCAGUCCUGGUGACAGGAGGAAAGUGUCACAGAAAACAUACCGCCAGGCACCAAACUUCCAGAAGGAUCAUUGGUUUAAUACCAUAUGUUCUCACAUGAGAGCUUUGAAUUUUUCAAAGCUCUCAGAAAAAACUGUAAUUAUGGGUUAUUUAAAGUUAAUUUUUGGGGGUCUGGGGGUAUAAGCCCCAGUGUAAGAAGGGGUUAUGAAAAGCUCUCACAUAUGGAAUAUUCAACCAGAAAAGAAUGAUCAUCCUGAAGUUUGGUGCCUGGUAAGGGUGAAAAGG